GAGCAGAGCACCCGGCGGUGGAGAGCUCGCAGCUUGCGCCCUCCAUGAAGCGGCCCAGGGAGCAGAGGGGCUCUGACGGCGAGUCCGACGGACCCAUCGACUUGGGCAGCGAGGGCCACCUGAGCUGCAUGGGCUAGGCAAGCUGAGUUAGCUCCCUGAGGCUCAGCACCCUCAUCUGUGAGAUGGGACCUUCAUGAGGCUCAAAGGUGUUGAUGAAAAUGAUCCAGCCUCAGAUGCAAAGAAGAUACCCACAUGGGCUGACACCCUCCUAGUGAGCCACAUAUGCCCCUAUUCCACAACGGCCUAGACUAUAGAUUUUAUGGUGUUUGCAACUGUGUUCUUCAGUAUGCCAAAGGCAAGGGCAGCAGGAGGAUGCUCUACCAUGGCUCUGCCAUGCCCCAAGCACUUGCUGAGGCCUGGGAUGACAACAGUGAAUGAAACUGAUGUGGUUCAUGGCCUCAUGGGGCCUAUGGAUUUGUUGGAGAAAUAGACAUUAAUCUAAUAACCAUAUGAGUACAAAAAUAACUAACUGGCAUAAAUGCAGUGAAUGCAGAAGGCUAGGAGUCUUGAGCAGGGGACAUCUAGUAGGAAGGUAGAUGCCAGAAAAGGCUCGCAAAGGAGGGGACAUUUGAGUUGAGAUCUGAGGGGAGAGGGAAACAGUAGCAGUGUGUGGAACUACAGGAAGGAGGUGAUACACUCACAGGUCGGAGCAUGCAGAGCAAGCCAGAUUUGGAUCUGAGAGGUGAUGGGCCAGCUGGUCCACCUGAAGGAUGGUGGCCUGAACACACUGGGAAGCCACUGAGAAGUUUUAAGAGUGACAAGGUCAGGCUUGCAUUUAAAUGACCAUUGCCUGCAGAGGGACCAACAAGAGCCUGUUGCAGUCUUCUAGGUGAGAGAACUGUGGUCCUGAGAGGGGUUAUGGACAUAAAAAGGACAGACAUGAGAAGUAUUUUAGACAUGACUGGGUUUUGAUGUGAGGGUGAGGACAGAGGAAGAAUCAAAGACAGUGCCAGUGUUCUGAAGUGGGGAAUCCAGGGCAUCAGGAAGCCAGUAAGGGGUUAAAGGCAAGGUCAUGAGUUCCUGUUCAGAUGCGUGCCCUUUGGCAUCCAAAAUGGCAGGGGAGGCAUCUCGUCCAAAGCGAUGGAGCUGAGCGAGAAAGGGCUGGGGCCCUGGGGCUAAAUGGGGUUUCCCGGGCUCAAGAAGGAUGCCUUAGUGCUGCCUGGCGAACUUCUCCGUUCUGAGGGAGCCUCUGGAACAAACAUCCCUUGAGAGGUCUAGCAGUCAGGCUGGAGAUUAUUUUGGUCAAAGUCUGGGCAGGAAAGCUUCUUCUCCGUUGCGAGGCUCCUGGGUGGGGGCUAUCAUCCAUCUUGCCGCCAGGGCUGCAGAGGAAGGGCCUCGGUGGGAGGGAGGCCGAGGUUACAGGCCAGGACUUCUGGGAGGCCAGAGCGAGUCCCAGAGCGUGCGAGAGGGGCCGGUGACCCAGAUGCCGCCCCCUCGCCCCCGCCGCACCGCGUGGGAGGAGGCGGCAGCUGCAGGCCGGGCGGAG
rnacentral:lncRNA from 1 species